UACAGAGGUGGCAAGCGUUGUUCGGAAUUACUGGGCGUAAAGGGCGCGUAGGCGGUUCGUUAAGUCCUGUGUGAAAUCCCCCGGCUCAACUGGGGAACUGCACAGGAAACUAGCGGGCUUGAGUCCGGGAGAGGUGAGUGGAACUGCGAGUGUAGAGGUGAAAUUCGUAGAUAUUCGCAAGAACACCAGUGGCGAAGGCGGCUCACUGGCCCGGUACUGACGCUGAGGUGCGAAAGCGUGGGGAGCAAACAGG
rnacentral:rRNA from 1 species